rnacentral:rRNA from 1 species
UAAUACGUAGGGUGCAAGCGUUAUCCGGAAUUAUUGGGCGUAAAGGGCUCGUAGGCGGUUCGUCGCGUCCGGUGUGAAAGUCCAUCGCUUAACGGUGGAUCCGCGCCGGGUACGGGCGGGCUUGAGUGCGGUAGGGGAGACUGGAAUUCCCGGUGUAACGGUGGAAUGUGUAGAUAUCGGGAAGAACACCAAUGGCGAAGGCAGGUCUCUGGGCCGUCACUGACGCUGAGGAGCGAAAGCGUGGGGAGCGAACAGGAUUAGAUACCCUGGUAGUCCACGCCGUAAACGGUGGAUGCUGGAUGUGGGGACCAUUCCACGGUCUCCGUGUCGGAGCCAACGCGUUAAGCAUCCCGCCUGGGGAGUACGGCCGCAAGGCUAAAACUCAAAGAAAUUGACGGGGGCCCGCACAAGCGGCGGAGCAUGCGGAUUAAUUCGAUGCAACGCGAAGAACCUUACCUGGGCUUGACAUGUUCCCGACAGCCCCAGAGAUGGGGCCUCCCUUCGGGGCGGGUUCACAGGUGGUGCAUGGUCGUCGUCAGCUCGUGUCGUGAGAUGUUGGGUUAAGUCCCGCAACGAGCGCAACCCUCGCCCUGUGUUGCCAGCACGUCGUGGUGGGAACUCACGGGGGACCGCCGGGGUCAACUCGGAGGAAGGUGGGGAUGACGUCAGAUCAUCAUGCCCCUUACGUCCAGGGCUUCACGCAUGCUACAAUGGCCGGUACAACGGGAUGCGACACCGCGAGGUGGAGCGGAUCCCUUAAAACCGGUCUCAGUUCGGAUUGGAGUCUGCAACCCGACUCCAUGAAGGCGGAGUCGCUAGUAAUCGCGGAUCAGCAACGCCGCGGUGAAUGCGUUCCCGGGCCUUGUACACACCGCCCGUCAAGUCAUGAAAGUGGGUAGCACCUGAAGCCGGUGGCCCAACCUUUUUGGGGGGAGCCGUCUAAGGUGAGACUCGUGAUUGGGACUAAGUCGUAACAAGGUAGAGCUCUCAGUCAAAUCACUAGUGAAUUCG